CCCACCCGCAGCCCAACUAACCCUAACUCACAUACCAUCUCUCCUCCUCCCUCAUCUCCACGCCGCCGCCACCUCCUCCCCGUCCUGUAGAGGCACGCUCGCCACCUCCUCCUCUCUGUUCCGCCACCUCCUCCUCCUUCCUCGACGCGUCCCGCAACGGCGCCCACCGCGUCGCCUGCCGGGCGCCCUUACGUGCACCACUCGCCAAUACCGCACCGCUCCCCGCGCCAACCGCCACUCCAACUCCAGCGCUGCUCCACCCGCGCCCGCGCCACCCACCGCUCCCGCCCCGGUGCCAGUGCCGAGGUCAUCCCCGCCCACCAGAUCUGGGAUCCCGCCACGGUAUGACUUGGACGCCAAGUGGUCGCCGGACGCCAUGGUUCCCACCAAUAAGACGAAUAAGAGCACGCAGAACAUCAACAACAAGCUCCAACUGUUGAUGAAGAGCAACAAGUACACGCUUGUCUACAAGACCGUUCUCAAGACACUUCUGGAGCUCAAGGAUACCUUGAUAUGGGAUGAAGUGUAGAGUGCGGAGUCACUUGAUCUUCGGUACCCGCGUGUGCUCUACCAACCGCAUGACGGGUGUUCGCCUUUUUGCCGCCUUCUUCCACCUCCGCCUCCUCCCACCUCUUCUUUGUUGGGUGCAGUCGAAAUCCGUGACAACAAGCUAGCUAGCUAGCAACCAUGUCUAUUGCCAUGUCCAUAUAUAUACAUCCCUCUCCAUUGUAGAUCCAUUGUAUCUGUAUGCUGCUAUAUUAUGUCAAGUUGAGUGAAGCAAACAUAUCAUUGUGUGUGUGUGUUAUCAUCUCCUAAUGCUCCUACUAGCUUUCUGACGUUGGCAAAUGAUCUGACUCCUCUCACUUGGCCUAGGAGCAACACCACUGAUGAUGAGAGCAGAUCCUUUCCCUCAAUAGAUUAGCAUCAUUCCAUUCUUACUAUGUAGUAGAAUUGGUAGUGAUAGAGUGGGUGAAUCUAUGUGAUGUAGAGAUACACUAAGAUCAUGCAAAAAUAUAUAUUAGUUCUGCUAAUGCUUACAAGUGAAUUCAAGUCUGCUUACUUGAAGGUCCAACAAUUAUGCAUACUAAUUCGUGUCCUUUGUGAUUUGGGGAAAGGAAAUAGAAAGGAAAUAGUAAUGUUGCGAAUUGCUAUAGUGGUUUGCGAUUUGGAUCAACUAAACUGAAAGUGAGAUACUGAGAUGUGGAUCACACUAGUACUAUUUCAGUAUUUCUUGCUUGCUUGUUUGCUUCUUCUUUCUGCUGAAGCAGGCGAGCUGAUUUUCUGCUUUUGGUUUCUGCAACAAUUGGAGGAGGAGUUUGUGCCGAGGACUGGACUGGAUGUGCCUUGAUGCGUGAUCUACAACGCCCUUGAUCUUAGGACCAUGAGCGGAGGCUGGAGCAGAUCCGAAGGGCGUUCCAGGGCCUCGAGGGCUCCCAAGUCUGUCCCUUCUAGUAUGCUUCGACGGGAGCAUCUGCGGAGAGGGUCAGGUAGUGAGUCUCAGAGCUAGUUCAUCCACUUGGAGAUUAUGAGAUAUGCUGCUGGAGAGAUGCCGUUAGCAAACUGGAAGGGCUGGAACCAAAUCCAAUCGACCGCAUGGCAGUGGUCUUUGAAUAUCUAAGCUAGUGAUAAUCUUUUCAGUGAUUCCUUUUUUGUUUGGCCUUCUUGUAGUGUAUAUUAGUAGUCGCUGGAGUUGUGAUGGUGAUCUUUUUUUUGACUGACUGUUUGUUAUAGAUGAAAAAUCUUUUAGUUGUUGCUUCUUAUGUAUAGAUAAUGUGAUGAAGAUGUAACUGCAACAAAUGAUGUAUGAUUGUACAGAGAAACAAAUGUUGCUUUGAUGGCAAAAUUGAAAAAACUGAACUGUUUCUC